GGUCUCUGGGUUGCAGGCGAAAUGGUGUAUGCCCUAGCUUGUACGCAUCGACAAUAAACAACGCUACGCGACAAACGCGCGACAGUCGCGCGACUAACGCGCGUCACGGCUUAUAGCGUAAGCUACAUAUUAACAAACAUAUAUUAUAUUUUUGACAUUGUACCAUAUUCGAGCCGAACUUCAAAUUGCAGUCAUCUUAGUUAUAUUCAUUUUCCUAGUAUGUAAUUAAUAAUAUAUAUAAAAUAAUAGUUAAGGUUUUUUGUUCGCUUGUGUAGUUAAGAUUUUUUUUGUCAUGGCAACACUAAGAGCGUUUUGAUUCUGACACUA